rnacentral:rRNA from 1 species
ACACUCCUACGGGAGGCAGCAGUGGGGAAUAUUGGACAAUGGGCGCAAGCCUGAUCCAGCCAUGCCGCGUGAGUGAUGAAGGCCCUAGGGUUGUAAAGCUCUUUCACCGGUGAAGAUAAUGACGGUAACCGGAGAAGAAGCCCCGGUUAACUUCGUGCCAGCAGCCGCGGUAAUACGAAGGGGGCUAGCGUUGUUCGGAUUUACUGGGCGUAAAGCGCACGUAGGCGGACUAUUAAGUCAGGGGUGAAAUCCCGGGGCUCAACCCCGGAACUGCCUUUGAUACUGGUAGUCUUGAGUUCGAGAGAGGUGAGUGGAAUUCCGAGUGUAGAGGUGAAAUUCGUAGAUAUUCGGAGGAACACCAGUGGCGAAGGCGGCUCACUGGCUCGAUACUGACGCUGAGGUGCGAAAGCGUGGGGAGCAAACAGGAUUAGAAACCCCGGUAGUCCC